GAUGAACGCUGGCGGCGUGCCUAAUACAUGCAAGUCGAGCGAACGGACGAGAAGCUUGCUUCUCUGAUGUUAGCGGCGGACGGGUGAGUAACACGUGGAUAACCUACCUAUAAGACUGGGAUAACUUCGGGAAACCGGAGCUAAUACCGGAUAAUAUUUUGAACCGCAUGGUUCAAAGGUGAAAGACGGUCUUGCUGUCACUUAUAGAUGGAUCCGCGCUGCAUUAGCUAGUUGGUAAGGUAACGGCUUACCAAGGCAACGAUGCGUAGCCGACCUGAGAGGGUGAUCGGCCACACUGGAACUGAGACACGGUCCAGACUCCUACGGGAGGCAGCAGUAGGGAAUCUUCCGCAAUGGGCGAAAGCCUGACGGAGCAACGCCGCGUGAGUGAUGAAGGUCUUCGGAUCGUAAAACUCUGUUAUUAGGGAAGAACAUAUGUGUAAGUAACUGUGCACAUCUUGACGGUACCUAAUCAGAAAGCCACGGCUAACUACGUG
rnacentral:rRNA from 1 species